GCCUGGGUGGCUCAGUUGGUUGAGCUUCUGACUUCGGCUCAGGUCAUUUCUCACAGGCUGUGAGUUCAAGCCCCAUGUCAGGCU
rnacentral:tRNA from 1 species